rnacentral:rRNA from 1 species
AGGGUUUGAUCAUGGCUCAGGACGAACGCUGGCGGCAUGCCUAACACAUGCAAGUCGAACGAGAAAGUUCCUUCGGGAGCGAUUAAAGUGGCGCACGGGUGAGUAACGCGUAGACAAUCUGCCCUUCAGUCUGGGACAACUUUUCGAAAGGAGAGCUAAUACCGGAUAACAAUGUUUAACCUAAGUUAAGUAUUUGAAAGCUUUAUGUGCUGAAGGAGGGGUCUGCGUCCCAUUAGCUAGUUGGUAAGGUAAAGGCUUACCAAGGCGACGAUGGGUAGCGGGUUUGAGAGGACGAUCCGCCACACUGGAACUGAGACACGGUCCAGACUCCUACGGGAGGCAGCAGUGGGGAAUAUUGCACAAUGGAGGCAACUCUGAUGCAGCAAUGUCGCGUGAGUGAAGAAGGCCCUUGGGUCGUAAAGCUCUUUUA